rnacentral:lncRNA from 1 species
GUUCAAAUUUGCAUGAAAAAGGAGAAAGAAAACCUGUUUUUGCUAGUCUAGGCAAUACAGUGUGCCAGAAGCUAAUGAGACAUGAAUAAGGCCAGAAAUGCACAUCUUUUCACUUCUUUAAACUUUCUGUCUUUCAGCUGCUUCUGACUUUUCCUCAGAUAUCAGCACAACUUUACUGUGCUGACAAAGUCUAUGUGUGUUCAUACGGCUAGAAAACACCAAAAAUCCCUUGUUUCAUCCUUUUUUUCCCCUUCCAAUCUAAAUGUAUGGCUCAAGGUGAGAAACUGAAUUGUCUAUUUUCACAGUACUAAAUGGCAUUAUAAAAAAGGGAAGUGAAACUCUUCAGACAGUAUACUCUAGCAAGGUUUUAUUCUUGUUCUUCUGUUUUUCAGUAUUACUCUCAAUAAUAUUUUCUACAAGGGACAGUGAAACUUUAAGAAUUUGAUCCAGCACUGAGAUUAUUCCAACAUUAAGACAGCAUUUUUAUAGGCUAUUUGAGCCAUUCCCAAUGCAGGCUUCUCAGCUCUGCCCACUGCCAGACACAUUCUCUUUUCUAGGCAAUAGAUCAUGGAUUUAUCCCACCAAACAAGAAAAUUUGACUUAGAGAAGUCACAGCCUUGCUCACUGUAGAAAUAUGCAAAUACAAUACCAGUUGUGAGAUCAAUAUUCAUUAAAAAGAUUGUUUCAAAAUAAAGAAAAAUAUCCACCUAAAUUAGCUCAAAUUCCACCCUUAUAGAGAAGUCCAAUAACAUGUUCAUUUUAAAAUAGCCUACAUAAAUGAGAGACUUACAAAGGAAAACUGAUUCAAAGCCUUACUCACUUUUUUCCACUGAAAAUCUUCAAGAAGCUCUGCAUUUACUGUUUGAAGAGUAAGUCCAUUAAACAACCUCAAGUGCUUGGGUGCACAUACUUAUACAAAACUCUGAUAAGUUCAUCCAUUUUAUUACUUUUGACUUAUAUAGGAAAUCGAAGAGACUCCAAAGUAAUAAUAAAGAUGAAUUCCUUCCUCACCACUCGAAAGAAAUCCAAAGAGUAAUUCUAAAUUCUCCUUUGAACACACCUCGAACAAGGCCUGUAAUUUCUCCUGUUGCUCUGGAAGGAUAAAAUACAAUAUUUUACAACAUAAUACAAUUCAUUACAAAAUUAAUUAUAUAUAUAUAUUUAAUCAUUACUCUGAGAAAACAUGCUAUGAGAUUCUAGUAACUGAUCUGGCAGGUGAUCUUCAUGUAAGAGGUAAAGAAAAACAGCAUUUACUUAACUGAUAACUAAAGCUAACAGAAUAAGAAAAUCUGACUCAAUAUUGCUCACAAUCAACAAGACAGGAAUAAUGGAUUGCUUAGACCCUUCGUUCUACCACUGAUGCCUCUUUGGAUCCUUAUGAGCAUCAUGUAAGAAUUUCACUGGUCAUCACUGAGAAGCUGCACAAGGUUUGAUGCUGACCCCUGUAUAACUCUGGUGCAAUUCACCACCAAUUAAUUCAGUAUCAUAUAAUCAUGUAAUCAUAGAAUCAUACAAUGGCCUGGGUUGAAAAUGACCACAAUGAUCAUCGAGUUUUAACCCCCCUGCUAUGUGCAGCAUCACCAACCAGCAGACCAGGCUGCCCAGAGCCACAUCCAGCCUGGCCUUGAAUGCCUGCAGGGAUAGGGCAUCCACAACCUCCUUGGGAAACCUGUUCCAAUGUGUCACCACCCUCUGAGUAUCCAUUAUGAGAAUCCAACUGUUCAUAAACUACAUAGGUCGCUCUAAAAGUAAUGCAUAUAUUUCCAUGGAAGGUACAAUGCAUACAAAGAACAAAAUAACACUAUUGAAUAGAGUGAAUUUUCAGCUACAAAAAACAAUCAUCACCAUUAGCAGAAUGUGUGGAUGAGCUGAUUGAGACUGUCUUCAGUUCAUGGUCUGACAGCUGUGCAUGGCUGUCUAGAACAUGGUUUGUAUUUCAUGUCAUUAUCACCACUGCAGAAAUACAAAACCCACCCCUUGUUGUGCUCAAACCCACUGUUUGGUCUCCAUAAACAUUCCGUAAGCAUCAAUGAAUGUCAGUAGGUGCUGCUUUUUCUUCAAGGAAGAAUUCAAUUACACACCUUUGCUCCAUACCCAUUUCCAUGUCAGAUGCCGUACUUUCAGACUGUCUUUCUGCUGUUGUCUGUCACACAGAACAAAAUGUAGCAGGAUAUUGGUGGGAAGACUCAGUAUCUACUGUCAUCCCACUGACAUCUGCCUCUGACGUCGUGGCCCAAGACAAUAAAAUAGAAGGCAUUACUUUUGGAGCAUCCUUUGCAGUAGAAAUGCACGAUGUGCAGCCCACUCCCCUUCCCUGGCAAAGGGUAGAAGAUUUUUCUGCACUUUGGCCAUUUUUACUCUCAUCCAUCACAGCUACUGUCAGCAGGAUGCAACAUUUUCUUUAGAAUGGAAUUAAAAUCUGAAUUUUCAUGAUGAUCCCUUGAGCGAUGAGGUAAACUCAGACCAGAAGUGUCGCUUAUCCUAUUGGUAACCAGAGCUGCAGUUUGCAGUUUACUAUAACUGCAAAUGGUGGGUAUUAAGGAGGAUUAAAAUAAAUACUUGGAGUGUGCAGAGCCCCCUCAGCAUCAUGACCUGAUGAACGCUGUUUCUCUGUAGUUGAUUAAACACAGAUUGAACUGCUAGCUGUUCCGUGCUUCCAUUGGCUCACUCUUCUUCAGAUGCACUAAUCUUGGAAAAAGCUGCCCACACCCUAAACUUUAUACCCCACAAUUUUGGCUUUGAUUUCACUGGAAUUAGCACACGAGGGAAGGUACAAGUUAUAUUCUUUCCAUGGUCUCAUGAGUGAUAUUAUUAUUUCAAGGCCAGGCUGGAUGUGGCUCUGGGCAGCCUGGUCUGCUGGUUGGUGACCCUGCACAUAGCAGAGGGUUGGAACGAGAUGAGCAUUGUGGUCCUUUUCAACCCAGGCCAUUCUAUAAUUCUAUGAUUUUAUGAUUAGGAUCAGGCUUGAGUCCUCAUGAUCUUUGUCAGAUGAUGGAGCCUCAUCCUAACACGACUGUCAGCAGCUCAUUUCUCUGUGCCUUACUCAACAACCCCCAGAUCCACUGCAAAUUCAGUAGGAAUGACCAAACCCAUGAGCAACACCAAUUUAUCACCUCCAACUUGCUCCUUCAUGAAAACGCCAACCAACCAGCCAACCUCGGAGCAGUCCCGGCCAACCCAAACGAUGCCAUGCAACUGCCGAAGCGGCGACAGCUCUUCGCAUUGUCUGCAAAGCGUGGCGGGGGUCUCUGCUGGAGCGGAGCGAUGGGAGUUUUCGUUGUAGCAACAUUGCCACCUAGUGCUGCCGUGAUGCAGUUCCGACACCGGGAAAUCCGGCUCUUGAGCAACCGAAGCAGCAGAACAGGUUGGUGUGACUUCCUCAUUCCGUAUUUUAGCCACGCUGCCACCUCUCUUCCCUCGGUAUUCUCACUUUUAGUGAGAAAGAGGGAAUAUGCCUCUCCUGAAAUAACGGGAAUAACUCAAAGCUCGCCGGCUGGCUUUCACAACGGGCCUUUUGCAGUCUCCGCCUGUGCAAAGAACAGAUGAACAAAGAUUUUCAGAUGAGCGGUUGGAAACUUGUGAUUAAGGUGAAACACACACCAUGAAGCAGUAAAGAGCAGGCCUUGAUUUUCUUUUCACUCAUCUUCAAUGUUCAGGUCUGACUAAUAAGGAAUGCAGGAGCUUUCUCUAAAGUAUUUCCAAGUAAUUUUUUGGAAGCUGGUUCCAAUUUUCAGGCUACUGCUGAGGAGCUGGUUUGAACACAACAAUGGAGGCCCCUAAUUCAAUGUUGGCUUUGAAUGGAGGCAGGCUGUGAUGGUGAUACGUCACAACGAACUGGGAGGUGAUGGAGGAGGUAUGGAGGAGCGGACCCACCUAGAAAUGGCUCACCUCUGUGGUGGGUGUGGGAAGUCACUGGGUUUCAGAACAACCCAAUGGCUUAGCCUCACAUUAACUAAAGCCAUCCGUGAGAAACUGUCUUGUGAAUUUGCAUGAAACAUAUUUCUUGGGUUAGGCAGGAAAUCAAAAUUUCUUCAAGGAAGCUGAUACUAAAACCACUCUGAAAACGAAGUCUCCGAAGGCCUUACCUCACACAACACAGCCACAAACACCUGCUUCCGCUUCAGUUUCUCCUCCUAUUCAAAACUAAAGAGAGUAUUUCCAGAUCUCUGGAGCAGCUGUUCAUUUUAAGCCAGAUACGUAGCAGUAAGACACUCACUGAUGGCCUGAGGAUGGGAAAACACUACAUUUAUCAAAAUAUUCUGAUUUCCUCACUUAGACAGUUGCUGGGUAGAGCAAUGGAAGUCUUUACCCAGAUUUUUCAUGCAGCAUUUUGAAUCCUGAGUUAGAAACCAGUGAGUGUAUGUGACAUAUUUCAGGAGAUGUUCGUCGAUAGUGAAUGCGAGAUGCAAAUUCAACUAAAGUCCACAGUUUAAUCCUCAUUAAGAGGCUCAUUGGUGUCCACUUUAUCAGGAUAAUGAGAUAGAAAACAUGAGUCCUUAGGGGGACCCUAAUUAGGCGUUCUGGCAGGCCUGUUCAAGCAAGUAUAUCAUUUGAGGGGAUUGCUACCAUUGCGUUUUGUUGCUGACAUGCAUUUGCAAAUGCAUCUUGUGCUUCUAAGCUUUCAGUGCAUCUGGGGAUCCAGUUCAAGUAGCUCUCAUGAUUUUUCAAAUCCUUCCUCCAAAUCCCUACAGCCUUUCAGUCCCUCUGCCCAGUCAGACAUCACCUAUAGGGCUCCUUAAAAAUAUAUAUAUCCUUGUUUCGGCAGUCAGUAUGGGAAGCAGUGAAUCUCACAGAUCCGAUGAAGGCUGAUCUUAGGGCAAAAGCACAGAAGUGAAAUCUCUGGUCAGAACAUACACCCUAUCCAAGAUGGGUUGAAUGGUUUAAUUUCUCUGUGCCUCUGAUCCAUGCCUGUAAAAUGGGGGGAAAAUACUUUGCUUGCUUGUGCUCCUUUUCCUCUCACUACAAUUGUAUAUCUAGUAAGUACAGAUUCUUCAGACAAAAUAAUAUGGUUUUUUUCUAUGUGUACCACACAAGAUCUCCAGAGAUGAUUGUGAGUCUUAUCUGUUCCUGCAAGAUAAGCAUAUCCUCACCAAAUUGCAUCCCUGUUGGAUCAUAGCACACUUCCCUUCUCUGCUUUCUCCACAGCUUAACUGCUGCUUGGCCAUCAGAUAGUACUUGGCAGCUAAUCUAGCCAAUGUAAAUGUUUUCAUGGACAGGCAAUUUUCCAGGAGCUGAAUGACUCUGCAGUGCUCUGACCCCAGAAGCCAGGAAGGACUUUAAACACUCAGUGCAGCCACUGGCUCCGGAAUGCCCCGGGCUGUCAGCUGGUAGGCUCUGGUGCAAGUACUGGAGAUACCUGCCUGUUCCAGCCCUGCUCUUUCUCUCUUUCCCAUAGCCCUUUUACUGGCCUCUAGUCAGAGACAGGCUGCCAAACCACAGGGAAGUUUGGUGUGCCCACAAUGGCAAUAAAAGCAGUCUAUCCUUUCACUCCUAUACUAAUAAUGCAAUUUAAUAAUUUAUUACACCAUCGGUAAUAAAGCAAGUCAGUGAUUUUUGCCCUACGUAGAUCCGAUUUCUCUUCUUCCACACCCAAUGGCUGCGCAUGGAUUUCCUACCAGGAGUAAUCCCAAUAUGCACACCCCCCCCAGAAACCACCUGGUUUUUUGCUGUUUGACCUGGGCCAGAGCAGAGCUAUGAGUCCAGAAGCCAUUCUGGCAAGUAACAAUAUAGUUGAACUCAUGACAGUGCUCAGAACUUGCCGUGCUGCUACUAAAUACAGACAGUUCUGUUAUGG